CCUCCCUCCAAGAUCAACAACCAUUCUUUUCAUUUUGAUGUAAGAUUUAGCUUUUAAAAUCUGAUCCUAUCUCUAUGAAUCAAGCAAAGAGCAUGUUGUCUUAUAUGUUGGCUACAACCAUGAUACAAGAAAUCAGGCUUUAAUUCUCAGAAUCAGCUACAUAUUUCAUGUCAAAUAUCACCCCUCAAUCAGCCUCCCUACAAGACCAGCAGCUUAGCCUUCCAUUUUGAUUCAAGAUUCAAAUUUCAAUCUCUGAUUUUCUCUUCAUAAAUCAAGAAAAGAAGGAUUGAUGGUCAACGUAUAAACAAAUUUCCAAUAUAGAAUCCUAACAAGGGCAGGGAUUUAUUUUCUUUUAUAAAAGGAUUAAUAUGCACCUAUAAAAAAGGAAUCCAACACUGGAGAGAAGAAACUCGUGAGAAGAAAGGAAAAAAGACAGAGUGGAACAAAAUAAGUUAGUGACAAGAAGAGGAGAAGAAAGGAC
rnacentral:lncRNA from 1 species